UGGACGAUAACGACCACAGGGAGGGACA
rnacentral:piRNA from 1 species